GGUCUAGAGUCUGACCGCUUACUCUUCCAGCUCUGAGGACUUCAUUCUGGGACUGCUGCUGUGUGUUUGUGACUUUUGAGAGAGGGAGACCAGCAGCUAGCUCAACUCCAAGACCCCUGAGUGAGACUGAAGAUAACAGGUGCAUGUCCUCCAGCUUCAAGGUGGACUACAGGGCUACUAUGUCCCGACCUUCGCUCCGGACCUUCAAACAACCUCCUCCCCCCCCCCACCCAAAAAAAAGCUUACGAGUGAGGAGUGAGUCUCGAGGGCGAGGCGGAGGGAGGAAGAGGAGCGUGAGACUGAAAGGGCGGACGUCCACCUCCUUAUUCUGAAGGGACUUUUAAAGGAAACGACUCCCGACAUUGCAGAGAACAGUAAGUGUGAAGUCGCAAGAAACCCUCACACGUCUUCAAGGUCACACACACACACACACACACACACUGAGUCACACACGGUCCCUAAAUGUCAAGGAGAGGCUCCUGACAUCUAAGCCUGGAAGCGCUCGUCCACUUCCUGUUUGCGACAGGACGCCUCACAGGUCAAGGACAGUAAAGAAGACAAAAACGCCCUCUUGUCGUAUUUUUUUGAACACAUCACCAUCAUUACUGUAAGUGUGGGAGCUCUAAUUCUGUCCUGUCUCACACACCCCCCCCGAAACAAUGCCAGUCUUUGUUCAAGCUACAUGUGUGUGUGCGUGGAAAUGUGUGUGUGUGUGUGUGGCCCUCGUCCCACUUCCACUCCUGCUCACGCUGGGUGCGAUUUUCCCCAAACAGUGGGAUGUUAUGAUUACAAAUUAGCAUGAGUGCUAAUAAGAUUUGGGGCUGUAAAUAGGGGGGACUUUUAUUUAGCCUCGUUAAGGAGCGUCGGUGGGGGCUGGCUCGUUAAAGGCAGCCCUUAACGACCUCUGAGGCAGACAGUAAAAACAGUGAUGAAGUCAAAUGAAGUGUGUGUUAUUGCCUUCAUGGUUUGUGGUAAUCUGCUGGAGAUGUGUGUUUUUGUUUUUUUUUUGUCUGUGAAAUGUUUAUUUGUUUGUUUUCUGGGUUCCACUGAUGUUUGUAUUUGCUUGAACCCACAUUUCACUCUGAAUUACUCAAUGUGUUUGUUUAUGUGCCCUUUGUGCGCCCAUUGUUUGUGUGUUUUUUUGUUUGUUCCCAGAGCUUUCUGGUGGUCACAGUUGCACAAUAUCCCUCUGUAUUGUUGUGAGAAACAACAGAUAGUAAAAGCCGGGGCUGCCGGGUCACUGUUGCGUCCUGGACCCGGGUCCUCGAAAGACACGGGACCAAGCUGGGUUGUGGUGUUGUUUGGCGCAGCAGAGUUUGUGUUGGUGAUUCGUCUGAGGGCAGUUUGACUU